UAGGCAUGACGGAUAGUUGCUUGAUGCAUAUAGCUUCAAGAGGAAAGUCUGAGCUGCUCUAAGAGAAUGUUCCAUCUAAAGGAUGGCUGGGGUAACCCAAGGGAAAGUGCAACAGAAACAAAACUUCCACUCAUAGUGGUAAAGGUGAAACGGUGGUGUAAGAGACCACCAGUCUCUAUAGUAAUAUAGAGAGCUUGUAAACCCAACAUGGCAGCAAGAAGUAUAUGGUUAAACUCUUAGAAAUUUAUAGUACUUCGCUAUAGUCGUAUUGUGAAAUACGAAAUAGAUUAAUAACUGUCCAAGACAGAACUCAGCUUAUAGUCAUGCCUAUAUG
rnacentral:RNase_P_RNA from 1 species